CAAUACAAUACUUUUUCAAUAUUAACUUAAACAAAGCAGGAACUACUGCUGCUUCAUGGAAACAAAGAAAAAGGAACACGAAUUUCAUGUGUUCGCAUGUAACAACAAAUGAGGAACAAUGGAUUGAUCUGUCUUCCACUUCUUUUGGAAAUCCGAGUAGCCAGUUCUUUUGGAUUGCAGAACAUCCUGACAUUUACAAGGAGCAAACAUGAGAAAAAAUACAUGAAAAAAACAUACAAACCACAAGGAAAAGAAAAAACA
rnacentral:lncRNA from 1 species